rnacentral:rRNA from 1 species
GACGUAGGGCGCGAGCGUUGUCCGGAUUUAUUGGGCGUAAAGAGCUCGUAGGCGGCCAACUAAGUCAGACGUGAAAUCCCCAGGCUCAACCUGGGAACUGCGUCUGAUACUGGAUGGCUUGAAUCCGGGAGAGGGAUGCAGAAUUCCAGGUGUAGCGGUGAAAUGCGUAGAUAUCUGGAGGAAUACCGGUGGCGAAGGCGGCCUGCUGGGCAGUGGCUGACACUGAGGCGCGACAGCGUGGGGAGCAAACAGG